rnacentral:rRNA from 2 species
GACGAACGCUGGCGGCGUGCCUAAUACAUGCAAGUCGAACGAACUCUGGUAUUGAUUGGUGCUUGCAUCAUGAUUUACAUUUGAGUGAGUGGCGAACUGGUGAGUAACACGUGGGAAACCUGCCCAGAAGCGGGGGAUAACACCUGGAAACAGAUGCUAAUACCGCAUAACAACUUGGACCGCAUGGUCCGAGUUUGAAAGAUGGCUUCGGCUAUCACUUUUGGAUGGUCCCGCGGCGUAUUAGCUAGAUGGUGGGGUAACGGCUCACCAUGGCAAUGAUACGUAGCCGACCUGAGAGGGUAAUCGGCCACAUUGGGACUGAGACACGGCCCAAACUCCUACGGGAGGCAGCAGUAGGGAAUCUUCCACAAUGGACGAAAGUCUGAUGGAGCAACGCCGCGUGAGUGAAGAAGGGUUUCGGCUCGUAAAACUCUGUUGUUAAAGAAGAACAUAUCUGAGAGUAACUGUUCAGGUAUUGACGGUAUUUAACCAGAAAGCCACGGCUAACUACGUGCCAGCAGCCGCGGUAAUACGUAGGUGGCAAGCGUUGUCCGGAUUUAUUGGGCGUAAAGCGAGCGCAGGCGGUUUUUUAAGUCUGAUGUGAAAGCCUUCGGCUCAACCGAAGAAGUGCAUCGGAAACUGGGAAACUUGAGUGCAGAAGAGGACAGUGGAACUCCAUGUGUAGCGGUGAAAUGCGUAGAUAUAUGGAAGAACACCAGUGGCGAAGGCGGCUGUCUGGUCUGUAACUGACGCUGAGGCUCGAAAGUAUGGGUAGCAAACAGGAUUAGAUACCCUGGUAGUCCAUACCGUAAACGAUGAAUGCUAAGUGUUGGAGGGUUUCCGCCCUUCAGUGCUGCAGCUAACGCAUUAAGCAUUCCGCCUGGGGAGUACGGCCGCAAGGCUGAAACUCAAAGGAAUUGACGGGGGCCCGCACAAGCGGUGGAGCGUGUGGUUUAAUUCGAAGCUACGCGAAGAACCUUACCAGGUCUUGACAUACUAUGCAAAUCUAAGAGAUUAGACGUUCCCUUCGGGGACAUGGAUACAGGUGGUGCAUGGUUGUCGUCAGCUCGUGUCGUGAGAUGUUGGGUUAAGUCCCGCAACGAGCGCAACCCUUAUUAUCAGUUGCCAGCAUUAAGUUGGGCACUCUGGUGAGACUGCCGGUGACAAACCGGAGGAAGGUGGGGAUGACGUCAAAUCAUCAUGCCCCUUAUGACCUGGGCUACACACGUGCUACAAUGGAUGGUACAACGAGUUGCGAACUCGCGAGAGUAAGCUAAUCUCUUAAAGCCAUUCUCAGUUCGGAUUGUAGGCUGCAACUCGCCUACAUGAAGUCGGAAUCGCUAGUAAUCGCGGAUCAGCAUGCCGCGGUGAAUACGUUCCCGGGCCUUGUACACACCGCCCGUCACACCAUGAGAGUUUGUAACACCCAAAGUCGGUGGGGUAACCUUUUAGGAGCCAGCCGCCUAAGGUGGGACAGAUGAUUAGGGUG